AGCCAGUCACUCGCCCGCCCUUCCGGGCCCACUCCCGAGGGGACGGUCUCCCGCCCGCCCUCACACACAGCUAGCUCUUCAGGCCAGGCCCCCAGGGUUUCGUCCACCUCUCACCUUUGACGACGCGAAUGAAGAAUGAGGAGGUGCUGCGAUCGAACGACUGCGAGGAAACACACCCGCUCUCAUGGCAUUCCCAGUAAACUGAGAAGACGUGAUUAAACCUCAGGAUCUCCUACUAAUAGAGAAAUGUAUAACGAUUUAGCUACCAGAUCUGAAUACUGAAGGGUUGGUAGGGGACCAGAGAAUAGAGGAAGCAUUGUAGGUUCUAGAGUGGAGAAGGGACCAUCCAAAAUGGAGUUUGAAAGAGAAUUCUGGCCUUUGUGUUUAGAGUCUGGAAUUGUCAAGAGUCUGAAAGCACAGAAUAAGACUGCAGCUAGAGCAAUUUAGGCGCCAUAGUUUGUCAAAACAGGUAAGGGGAAUAAAGGGGAUGACACCAAGAGAUGUGCAAAGAAUCUGAAGAAUUCACCUGAAAAGGAUACAACCUCCUCCUGGAAGGCAGAGGAGUAAAUAGGGAAUUGGAAAUUAAUUCCUUAUUUCUGCACAUGCACAGAAUCUGGGCCCAGGUGACUUAUGGAACCUUUAUAGAGACCACGGUGACUGACACUCAUGGGAAAGGGGGUAGAGGGGCAAGAACUGACUGUUCAUCAAAAAUUAUUAGAUGAGUGUGUCCACGACACCAGGAGAUAUGUUGAAUCAUGGACAGGGACCAGCAUAUCCACUAAGCUCUAUAUAUCUUGAUGGUGCAGGAUCCAAGUGGGAUGGAACAACCAAUUCCUGCCCAUCCUCCUGCUCAAUAAUACAUGUGCUCAGAAUCUGUUCAUAAUGCAUGGUGAGACGGGAUCUCACUGUGUUGCCCAGGCUGGUCUCGAACUGCUGGACUCAAGUCAUCCUCCCAUCUUGGCCUCCCAAAGUGCUGGAAUUACAGUGGACAACCUUCAAUGCACUGGUACUUUGUACCCUGACCUCUACUGUGAUGAACACUCAACUUGGGCAAGGAAGUGAAAUUCUCCAAAGUGGGUUCUGACCCAAUCAGCAGCCUUUGCUUCUCAGAUUCCUCUCAAGGCUUUAUGACUCUUCUCACCCCAGGAAACCCUACAACACGCACGGCCUUUCAGAACUGCUACAUGGAAUGGACAUUCCUCUGGGCUCCAGCUGAAUGUUUGUAAAUAAAAUAAUGACUGCGUGUCCUUAUUUUUGCUGAGUACACAG
rnacentral:lncRNA from 1 species